AAGAUGUCGGCUGCGGUGCCAGAGCUGAAGCAGAUCAGCCGGGUGGAGGCGAUGCGCUUGGGGCCGGGCUGGAGCCACUCGUGCCAUGCCAUGCUGUACGCCGCCAACCCCGGGCAGCUUUUCGGCUGCAUCCCCAUGCGCUUCUCGGUGCUGAUGCAGAUGCUCUUAGACGGGCUGCUGGGCUUCCCCGAGGGCUUCUGGUCAUUGGAGGAUGGACUGAACCGGGUGCUGGGCCUGGGCCUGGGCUGCCUGUGCCUCACCGAGGCCGACUACCUGAGCUCGCACCUGACCGAGGGCCCGCACCGUGUCAUGGCGCACCUGUACGCGCUGCAGCUGACGCUGGAGCAGCUGCACGCCAUGGAGAUCAGCGUGGUUCAUUCGCGCGACCACAGCCUGGAGGUGCUGGGACUGGUGCGGGUCCCGCUGUACACCCAGAAGGACCGAGUUGGUGGCUUUCUCAACUUCCUGAGCAAUGCCUUCAUCAGCACGGCUAAGUACCAGCUCCUCUUCGCCCUCAAGGUGCUCAACAUGAUGCCCGAGGAAAAGCUGGCUGAAGCUGUGGCUGCAGCCACUGAGAAGCAGAAAAAUGCAUUUGACACUGUCCUGCACCAGAGAUUGGGAAGUGUAACAGAACUACAUAAUAUAUAG